rnacentral:rRNA from 1 species
GAUGAACCGGAUCGUCCCGUUCCCACUCGGGAGCGAGUGUCUGAUUUGUGUUUGUCAUCCUUCCAGAGAACCGCGUCUUCCGUUCAUUCGGCAGGGCGUGUGGGAUCUGGAUCGAUUACUUUGAAAAAAUUAGAGUGUUUAAAGCAGGCUUAUGCUGUGAAUACAUUAGCAUGGAAUAAUAAUUUAGGACUUCGGUUCUAUUUUGUUGGUUUCUAGGACUGAAGUA